CCUACGGGAGGCAGCAGUGAGGAAUAUUGGUCAAUGGUCGGGAGACUGAACCAGCCAAGCCGCGUGAGGGAGGAAGGUACAGAGUAUCGUAAACCUCUUUUGUCAGGGAACAAAGGCGGGGACGUGUCCCCGGAUGAGUGUACCUGAAGAAAAAGCAUCGGCUAACUCCGUGCCAGCAGCCGCGGUAAUACGGAGGAUGCGAGCGUUAUCCGGAUUUAUUGGGUUUAAAGGGUGCGCGGGCGGUCUGUUAAGUCAGCGGUCAAAGCCCGGGGCUCAACCCGGGCCCGCCGUUGAAACUGGCAGUCUCGAGUUGGAGAGAAGUAUGCGGAAUGCGCGGUGGAGCGGUGAAAUGCAUAGAUAUCGCGCAGAACUCCGAUUGCGAAGGCAGCAUGCCGGCUCCACACUGACGCUGAGGCACGAAAGCGAGGGUAGCGAACAGGAUUAGAUACCCGAGUAGUC
rnacentral:rRNA from 1 species